UUGAUCCUGCCGGACCUUACUGCUAUCGGGGUGGGACUAAGACAUGCGAGUCGAGCGUCUCUAGCUAUGUUGAGACGCGGCAGACGGCUCAGUAACACGUGGCUAACCUACCCUCAGGACAAGGAUAACCCCGGGAAACUGGGGCUAAUACUUGAUAGGCGAAGAUGCUUGGAAUGGUUCUUCACUCAAAGGGCUUUAGAAACAUGCUUCUAAAGUCGCCUGGGGAUGGGGCCGCGACCGAUCAGGUUGUUGGUGAGGUAAUGGCUCACCAAGCCUAUAACCGGUACGGGCCGUGAGAGCGGUAGCCCGGAGAUGGGUACUGAGACAAGGACCCAGGCCCUAUGGGGCGCAGCAGUCGCGAAAACUCCGCAAUGCACGAAAGUGUGACGGGGCUACCCCGAGUGCCAUCCGCUGAGGAUGGCUUUUCCUUGGUAUAACUAGCCGAGGGAAUAAGGAGAGGGCAAGACUGGUGUCAGCCGCCGCGGUAAUACCAGCUCUCCGAGUGGUAGGGAUGAUUAUUGGGCUUAAAGCGUCCGUAGCCGGCUUAGCAAGUCUCCUGUUAAAUUCAACGACCUAAUCGUUGAGCCGCGGGAGAUACUACUAGGCUAGGAGGCGGGAGAGGUCGACGGUACUCCUGGGGUAGGGGUGAAAUCCUAUAAUCCCAGGAGGACCACCAGUGGCGAAGGCUGUUGACUAGAACGCGCUCGACGGUGAGGGACGAAAGCUGGGGGGAGCGAACCGGAUUAGAUACC
rnacentral:rRNA from 1 species